AUUGAACGCUGGCGGCAUGCCUUACACAUGCAAGUCGAACGGUAACGCGGGGCAACCUGGCGACGAGUGGCGAACGGGUGAGUAAUGCAUCGGAACGUGCCCAGUUGUGGGGGAUAACUGCUCGAAAGAGCAGCUAAUACCGCAUACGACCUGAGGGUGAAAGCGGGGGAUCGCAAGACCUCGCGCAAUUGGAGCGGCCGAUGUCGGAUUAGCUAGUUGGUGGGGUAAAGGCCCACCAAGGCGACGAUCCGUAGCUGGUCUGAGAGGACGACCAGCCACACUGGGACUGAGACACGGCCCAGACUCCUACGGGAGGCAGCAGUGGGGAAUUUUGGACAAUGGACGCAAGUCUGAUCCAGCCAUGCCGCGUGCGGGAAGAAGGCCUUCGGGUUGUAAACCGCUUUUGUCAGGGAAGAAAUCUUCUGGGCUAAUACCCUGGGAGGAUGACGGUACCUGAAGAAUAAGCACCGGCUAACUACGUGCCAGCCGCCGCCGUAACAC
rnacentral:rRNA from 1 species